GACGAACGCUGGCGGCGUGCUUAACACAUGCAAGUCGAACGAAGAGCGAUGGAAGCUUGCUUCUAUCAAUCUUAGUGGCGAACGGGUGAGUAACGCGUAAUCAACCUGCCCUUCAGAGGGGGACAACAGUUGGAAACGACUGCUAAUACCGCAUACGAUCUAAACUCGGCAUCGAGGAUAGAUGAAAGGUGGCCUCUACAUGUAAGCUAUCACUGAAGGAGGGGAUUGCGUCUGAUUAGCUAGUUGGAGGGGUAACGGCCCACCAAGGCGAUGAUCAGUAGCCGGUCUGAGAGGAUGAACGGCCACAUUGGGACUGAGACACGGCCCAGACUCCUACGGGAGGCAGCAGUGGGGAAUCUUCCGCAAUGGACGAAAGUCUGACGGAGCAACGCCGCGUGAGUGAUGACGGCCUUCGGGUUGUAAAGCUCUGUUAAUCGGGACGAAAGGCCUUCUUGCGAAUA
rnacentral:rRNA from 1 species